AUAUGUGUGUCCAAGCAGCAAGUCUGAGAACGAGUGAAAUGCUUUUUCUCUCAAGGACAAGCUGUGAUGGGGAGCGAAAUUUAGUAGCGAAGUUCCUGAUGUCACACUGCCAAGAAAAGCUUCUAGUGAGAAAGUAACUGCCCGUACCGCAAACCGACACAGGUAGUUGAGGAGAGAAUCCUAAGGUGUGCGAGAGAACUCUCGUUAAGGAACUCGGCAAAAUGACCCCGUAACUUCGGGAGAAGGGGUGCUGACCGCAAGGUCAGCCGCAGUGAAUAGGCCCAAGCGACUGUUUAUCAAAAACACAGGUCUCUGCAAAAUCGAAAGAUGACGUAUAGGGGCUGACGCCUGCCCGGUGCUGGAAGGUUAAGAGGAGAGGUUAGCGCAAGCGAAGCUUUGGAUUGAAGCCCCAGUAAACGGCGGCCGUAACAAUAACGGUCCUAAGGUAGCGAAAUUCCUUGUCGGGUAAGUUCCGACCCGCACGAAAGGCGUAACGAUUUGGGCACUGUCUCAACGAGAGACUCGGUGAAAUUAUAGUACCAGUGAAGAUGCUGGUUACCCGCGACAGGACGGAAAGACCCCAUGGAGCUUUACUGCAGUUUGAUAUUGCGUGUUUGUAUCACAUGUACAGGAUAGGUAGGAGCCGAAGAUACCGGGACGCCAGUCUCGGAGGAGGCAACGGUGGGAUACUACCCUUGUGAUAUGACCACUCUAACCCGCUGCUCUUAGCGAGCAGGGAGACAGUGUCAGACGGGCAGUUUGACUGGGGCGGUCGCCUCCAAAAAUGUAACGGAGGCGCCCAAAGGUUCCCUCAGAAUGGUUGGAAAUCAUUCGUAGAGUGUAAAGGCAGAAGGGAGCUUGACUGCGAGACCUACAAGUCGAGCAGGGACGAAAGUCGGGCUUAGUGAUCCGGUGGUUCCGCAUGGAAGGGCCAUCGCUCAACGGAUAAAAGCUACCCUGGGGAUAACAGGCUUAUCUCCCCCAAGAGUUCACAUCGACGGGGAGGUUUGGCACCUCGAUGUCGGCUCAUCGCAUCCUGGGGCUGUAGUCGGUCCCAAGGGAUGGGCUGUUCGCCCAUUAAAGCGGUACGCGAGCUGGGUUCAGAACGUCGUGAGACAGUUCGGUCCCUAUCCGUCGCGGGCGUUGGAAAUUUGAGAGGAGCUGUCCUUAGUACGAGAGGACCGGGAUGGACACACCGCUGGUGUACCAGUUGUUCUGCCAAGAGCAUCGCUGGGUAGCUAUGUGUGGACGGGAUAAACGCUGAAAGCAUCUAAGCGUGAAGCCCCCCUCAAGAUGAGAUUUCCCAUCACUUUAAGUGAGUAAGACCCCUGAGAGAUGAUCAGGUAGAUAGGUUGGGAGUGGAAGUACAGCGAUGUAUGGAGCGGACCAAUACUAAUCGGUCGAGGACUUAAUC
rnacentral:rRNA from 1 species